rnacentral:rRNA from 1 species
ACUCCUACGGGAGGCAGCAGUGGGGAAUAUUGGACAAUGGGCCACAAGCCUGAUCCAGCAAUUCUGUGUGCACGAUGAAGGUCUUCGGAUUGUAAAGUACUUUCAGCGGGGAGGAAGGGAGUAAAGUUAAUACCUUUGCUCAUUGACGUUACCCGCAGAAGAAGCACCGGCUAACUCCGUGCCAGCAGCCGCGGUAAU